rnacentral:lncRNA from 1 species
GGCCCAGGAUUCUAUCAAUCUUCAUUAAAUAUUUAUAAAACUUCUUAUUUGAGUUAAUUUCUUUAAAAUCUGUGAAAUAAAGCAAAUUUGGUUAAAUUCUGAAUGUUCCCCUUUUUCACCCUAUAUAGGUUGCAUUUCUGUAAAUAUUGACAAUGCAAUUUCCCAUAGGAACUCCUUUUACGGCUAAAACUGUACCACUUUUACUAUGAAGUUUUGAAAAAAAUCUUAUCCUAGAAUUGAAAGUUCAUAUGCACCACAAUUUUUUUCAAAGGUCAAAAUAUAGGGCUGUGCGGUAUAUUUUCAACGUUUAUAUGCCCUGAACUUCUCAGAGUUUAAACUUUCACUAAUUUUCUUAACUACCCCUACCUUGAAUGAAAGGUUACCACAGAUUUCAAUGUAAACAAUAUGCACGUGUUUAUUUACUGGUAACAUUCCCAAG